UACGUAGGACCCAAGCGUUAUCCGGAGUGACUGGGCGUAAAGAGUUGCGUAGGUGGCUUGUAAAGUGAAUAGUGAAAUCUGGGGGCUCAACCUCACAGGCUAUUAUUCAAACUCACAAGCUCGAGAACAGCAGAGGUAACUGGAAUUUCUGAAGUAGGGGUAAUAUCCGUAGAUAUCAGAAGGAACACCAAUGGCGUAGGCAGGUUACUGGGCUGUUUCUGACACUGAGGCACGAAAGCGUGGGGAGCGAACCGGAUUAGAUCCCUAGUAGUCC
rnacentral:rRNA from 1 species